rnacentral:lncRNA from 1 species
CAAUUUAAUUUAUAAUUUUUAAUUUUCCUAGGUGAAAGAGUCUCCAAGUAUAUGGGAGGACUAUUAUUCAGCAACUACAUUGUAGGGAUGGCAAUGGGGCUCGCUAGCUCGGACUGCCCGUGGUUCGGUCUGGAAAAAGCCUGAGUCGGCCCGUGUGACUUGUCGGCCUUUAUAUAUAAUAAUAAUAAUAAUAAUAAUAAUAAUUAAUUAAUUAAAGGCAAUAACUUGCUGCCUCAAAUAAGACUGCUGCCUUAUUUCAUUUGAGGUAGCGGGUUGCUGCCUAUGUUUAAAAAAAAAGAAAAAAAAAAUCGAGCCUGCUGACUCGACUUGUGGAAGCCUUAUGCGGCGGAAUUUUCCAUUUGUCCUUUUGUAGUCUAAUAGUUUCAUUUCUAGGUUUGUGGAAUAUAUAUAUAUAUAAUUUUUUUUUUGGGAAAUAUAUUGGAUUUUUGUAUACUUUAGAAUUUUGGAUCGCGAUUUCGUAU